rnacentral:rRNA from 1 species
UUUCGCAAUGCCCGAAAGGGUGACGAAGCGACGCCGCGUGCGGGAAGAAGGCCUUCGGGUUGUAAACCGCUGUCGGGAGUUAGGAAAUGCAAGGAUGUUAAUAGCAUUCUUGCUUGACUAAGGCUCCGGAGGAAGCCACGGCUAACUCUGUGCCAGCAGCCGCGGUAAUACAGAGGCGGCAAGCGUUGUUCGGAAUUAUUGGGCGUAAAGAGCACGUAGGCGGCUGUGUAAGUCGGUUGUGAAAGCCUUCCGCUUAACGGAAGAACGGCAUCCGAUACUGCAUAGCUUGAGUGCGGGAGGGGAGAGUGGAACUUCUGGUGGAGCGGUGAAAUGCGUAGAUAUCAGAAGGAACGCCGGCGGCGAAAGCGACUCUCUGGUCCGAAACUGACGCUGAGUGUGCGAAAGCUAGGGGAGCAAACGGGAUUAGAUACCCCGGUAGUCCUAGCCGUAAACGAUGGGCACUAAGUAGAGGGGUUUU